GACGAACGCUGGCGGCGUGCUUAACACAUGCAAGUCGAGCGGAAAGGCCACUUCGGUGGUACUCGAGCGGCGAACGGGUGAGUAACACGUGAGUAAUCUGCCCCUGGCUUUGGGAUAGCCACCGGAAACGGUGAUUAAUACCGGAUACGACCACUUCUCGCAUGGGAUGGUGGUGGAAAGUUUUUUCGGCCAGGGAUGUGCUCGCGGCCUAUCAGCUUGAUGGUGAGGUAAUGGCUCACCAUGGCUUCGACGGGUAGCCGGCCUGAGAGGGUGACCGAUAACACUGUGACUGAGAAACGGCCCAGACUCCUACGGGAGGCAGCAGUGGGGGAUAUGGGACAAUGGGCGGAAGCCUGAUCCAGCAACGCCGCGUGAGGUAUGACGGCCUUCGGGUUGUAAACCUCUUUCAGCAGGGACGAAGCGCAAGUGACGGUACCUGCAGAAGAAGCACCGGCCAACUACGUGCCAGCCGCCGCGGUAA
rnacentral:rRNA from 1 species